rnacentral:rRNA from 1 species
AUUGAACGCUGGCGGAAUGCUUUACACAUGCAAGUCGAACGGCAGCACGGGGCAACCUGGUGGCGAGUGGCGAACGGGUGAGUAAUAUAUCGGAACGUGCCCAAUCGUGGGGGAUAACGUAGCGAAAGUUACGCUAAUACCGCAUACGAUCUACGGAUGAAAGCGGGGGAUCGCAAGACCUCGCGCGAAUGGAGCGGCCGAUAUCAGAUUAGGUAGUUGGUGGGGUAAAGGCUCACCAAGCCAACGAUCUGUAGCUGGUCUGAGAGGACGACCAGCCACACUGGAACUGAGACACGGUCCAGACUCCUACGGGAGGCAGCAGUGGGGAAUUUUGGACAAUGGGCGCAAGCCUGAUCCAGCCAUUCCGCGUGCAGGAUGAAGGCCUCGGUUGGUUAACGUAGCUUUGUUACGGUAACGAAACGGUACGUAGCCUAACUACUAGGGGCGGUAAGUAGACGGUACCGGUAACGAAGUAAAGACACCGGCGUAACCUAACGUACGCCACGCAGCCGCCGGUAAGUGAGU